AUUUCGUUAUCUGCGCACCCGCACGCUCUCUAGUCUUUCUUCUCUUUCGGAAAAGAACAAACUAUUACCACAAUGGCUGAGGAAACCGUCCGUGUUGAAGUCCCUGCGGUAGAGGAGAACGUCGUGGUUGAUGUCGCGCCGGAAAGCCUGGAGGAUGCCGUCCGUAUUGUGAUCCAGAAGGCGCUCGAGGCCAAUGGCCUCGUCCGCGGCCUCUCUGAGGUGGCCCGCACCCUGGACUGCAAGACGGCGCACAUGUGCAUUCUCGCUGAUGACUGCGAGGAUGAGGAGUACAAGAAGCUUGUCACCGCGCUCGCCAAGCAGGGCAACAUCGAUCUGAUCAACGUCGAGGAGCGCGAGAAGCUCGCCCAGUGGGCCGGCCUCGUGCGCCGCGAUGUGGCCGGUGAGGUGACCAAGACUCUCAAGUGCUCCUCUGUCGCCAUUCGCGACUUCGGUGAGCGCACUAAGGCUCUGGACUACUUGCUGUCUCAGCUGCACUAAAAGCAGCUUCCUCCCUUCGCGCCCCCGCUCUUCGCCCCCCUCCCUUUCCAUCCGUUCUCUUACUGAGUGAGCAACGUUUCGGCUGUGCUUGUGCGAGCGAGCGAGCGAGCAUGUAUGCGCGCAUGCGGAAGAGAAGGGGGAGGGGCGCAGGGCAAGUUCCGAGGGGACGGGCAUCAACUCCUGUUUAAGCGCUCUUUUUCUAAAGCAACGAAAGAAGUGCGAGGAGAUGCACAGACGGUGGCUGCAAGGAACGCGCAGGCACACACGCAUGCAGAGGAAGGGUCUCGUGUGGUUCGUGCGUGUUGCUUUGCCGUGUAUGCCUGCGCACCCUUUUUGAUGGCUACUGGUCACGCUACGCAGUGUGUGCGUGUGUGCGUGUGUGCGUGUAUGCGUGCGACGAGGAGCAGCUUCUCCCACGCUUCAGCUACUCUUUCGUCCUCUUGUCUUCUCGCGCUGCUCGCUCUCGCUCUCUCAUGUUCUUCUCUUUGCUCUCUCGUACUCGGACACACACGGACAUGCGUGCGCGCGUGUACGGCUUGGUGGCGAGCGAAAGCGAGAGAUGACGAGGAUGAGAAUGAUGAGGUGGUGGUGGUGGUGAGGAAGGCAGCUGGCAGGGCAGGGCAAAGAGAGGAGUCGAGGAAGAGGAUGACGCCGAUGCCGUGGGAGGAGGGUGCUUUUCUGUAUAUAUACGAAAUCACUAACUUCAUUUCUUCUUUUCAGUAAAAGUUUUCGAAUUUCUUUUCCGAUGACCCACGC
rnacentral:misc_RNA from 1 species